GAUGAACGCUGGCGGCGUGCCUAAUACAUGCAAGUCGAGCGAAGCGAGGACGGGUGAGUAACACGUGGAUCACCUCCUAUAAGACUGGGAUACCUUAGGGGACGCGGAGCUAAAAAGGACACUUGUAUAUGGAUCCGCGCUGGAGUAGCUAGUUGGUAAGGUAACGGCUUACCAAGGCAACGAUGCAUAGCUGACCUGUGAGGGGGAUCGGCCACACUGGAACUGAGACACGGUCCAGACUCCUACGGGAGGCAGCAGUAGGGAAUCGUCCGCAAUGGGCGAAAGCCUGACCGAGAAACGCCGCGUGAGGGAUGAAGGUCUUCGGAUCGGAAAGCUCUUUUAUUUGGGAAGCGGUACCUAAUCAGAAAGCCACGGCUAACUACGUGCCAGCAGCCGCGGUAAUAC
rnacentral:rRNA from 1 species